GUCGCGAAGCAGGGAUUGGAGCCCACCCAAGAAGGAGAGAGCCCUCCAGUUCAGCAUCCUCAGCUGUUGUAGAGAGGAGAGAAACUCAAGGAACUGGGAGCCUGCAGCCAGGGAUGGAGUCUGGGGACAGGGCUUUCAGUAGUGCCUGCUGGAAGAGCGAGCCACUGCACCUCCCCUUUGGUGGCUCUUUGUGUGCUAGGCACAGGCUGCAGCCAAAGUAGUCCCCAUCAUCUCUACCUUCAGAGUGUCCAUAGAAGCAAUUUUUUUUUUUUGCAAUACUGGGAAUUGAACCUAGGGGCGCUCUACCACUGAGCUACAUCCCCAGCCCUUUUUAUUUUUUACUUUGAGAUAGGGUCUGGCUAACUAGCUGAGGUUGACCUGAUACUUGGGAUCCUCCUGCCUCGGCCUCCUGAGCUCUGGCAUUAUAGGCAUGCGCCACCGCAUCUAGCUCAAAAGCCAUUUUGAAGGACCCAUAUCCUUUCCUGAGCUCCCACUGCAGCACACAAAUGCACAGUGUACUUUGCAAACUAUGUAGCUGGAGUUGAAACCUUCCUAUCCCACAAAUAGCUGCACACCCAUGUCUGCAGCAGCUUUACUCAUAAUUGCCAACAUUUAGAAGUGGCCAAGAUGUCCUUCAGUAGAUAUGUUCAUCAGCUUUCUGUGGCUAGAACAGAAUACCUAGAUAAAUCAACACAAAGGAGGAUUUCCAUCCAGUCUCACCUCAUGCCAGCCAGGAAGCUGGAGAGAGAGGAAGCAGCUGAGAUCCCAACAUAACCCUCAAGGGGCCCCUCACCUAUCUAACUUUCUCCUAUGGGCCCCACCUCCUAGUUUCCACCACCUCCCAAUAGCAUGAUUCUCUGGGGACCAAGUCUUCAACACAUAGACCUUUGAGGUCUAGACCUUCCAGCUCCAAACUAUGACACUAAGUGAAUGGAGAAACCAUAGUGCCUCCAGACAAUGUAAUAUUAUUCAAUACUGAAGGAUUUGAGCUCUCAAGCCAUGAAAAGAC
rnacentral:lncRNA from 1 species